rnacentral:rRNA from 1 species
UACGUAGGUGGCAAGCGUUAUCCGGAUUUAUUGGGCGUAAAGGGAACGCAGGCGGUCUUUUAAGUCUGAUGUGAAAGCCUUCGGCUUAACCGGAGUAGUGCAUUGGAAACUGGGAGACUUGAGUGCAGAAGAGGAGAGUGGAACUCCAUGUGUAGCGGUGAAAUGCGUAGAUAUAUGGAAGAACACCAGUGGCGAAAGCGGCUCUCUGGUCUGUAACUGACGCUGAGGUCCGAAAGCGUGGGUAGCAAAUAGG